UCGAUCUUAUGAUGAAAUAUUUCGGAUGUAAACACAGACCUGUUCUGAAUGCGCAAAACCGUGUGGAUUUUUCCGUUGCCUUCCUUCUGACAAGAUCA
rnacentral:snoRNA from 1 species